UGUGUGUGUGUGUCUGUGUCUGUCCUUCAGGCCAUUGGCCAAUGACCUGUGACAUAACUAGGGGUCUGCUUCCACUUUCUCUGGGUCUUGAGAAAUGCCUGCCCCACUACAAGCACAGUGUUUGUGCUCUGAAAUCAGACAGAUUCAGGUUUGAACACAGAUCUGUCUCCACACAGUAGCUGUUGAUCGCCCUGUGCUUCAGUUUCCUCCUAUGUAAAAUGUGAAUAACAAUAGCACUUACAUCACAGGAGGUUGUGAGAAAUUCUUAGAAGAGUGGCUGGCUUGACUAGUCAUUACUGUCAAGAUGAUUGUAGGAGUUUAUUUCUAACUUUAAUAUACAUAAAAAUUACUCCUACCCUACCUCUUUUAUUCUCAGAGGACUGUUGAGAUAUAAAUAAUUUCAAAAGCAAACCACAAUACCAUCCCUGACUAAUGGACAGAAAAUGAGCUGAGGACACAAAUAAGAAGUGGCCCUUUUGGCUCGCUGCCUUCCCAUUCAGAUGACCUGGCCUCAGAACUAGUAGUCCUGCCAACUUCAAGUCAAAUCAUGGUAGCCAAUACUUUAAUGAGGCUCUUGAGUUUUGCUGAUUUUAUUAGUUGCUUAUCUGAGCAAAACUCUCCUAUUUUUCAGAUUUAGUUUUUGCAGAUGGUUGGUUAGUUACAGAUAUCUGUGUUCAUUAACCCUUCAUCUCCCCCAAUGCUGUUUGAGUUCACGAAGCCUCACAAAGUCGCAAUUGAAACCAUGCUUUUAAGCUAGGUCAACUCCAGCAAAUUUGAAAGCAGUCUGUUUGCCUGACCUUCUCAUUUAGAGAAUGAUGCUAAUAUGCACCUACCGCUUAGGGUUUUUGCAAGCGUCAAGUAAGCAAACAGAUAAAAUACGUGACCACUACUCUCCCAACCCCAGCAAGGCAGGAAGGUGAAAGGGAAUUCCUGCAAAUGACCCUGUGUAUAUGGAGAAGAAAAACCUGCAUGUGUAUAUGAGCAUAUAUACUCAUAUUCAUAUGCAUUUUUGUUCCCUCUCCCAGCCCUGCUGAUCCACAUUCCAGCCCAGAAUGCACUGCCCAGAAACUGUCUAUCCCCAGUAACCAAAGCCCUGGGAAUGAUUCUGGGAUUGUGACAGCGCCACUUUCCAGUGCUGGCAGCCAUGCCAGAGGCUUCCUGCGACGGAACCACUUUCGCUGGCUGUUUAAUAUGUUCUCUUAGAAAAACUGUUUGUUCUGAGAGAUAUAUUGGCCUUUUUUGAAACAUUUCUGGUUUUGGCGAAGAUGUUUAUUACUCUAAAUUCUCUUAGAGACAAGUGGUUCAAGUUCUCUAAAGACUGAGCUAAGGAAGUAAAAAAGCCUAAAGAGGGACUGAAGACAGACCCACUACUCCCCCCAGAGAAAGCUGCCCGGAAACCAUGUGAUUGGCCACAUUUGAAGUUAUGUGGGCUUAUAUGAAUGCACUCUGCCAACUGAUUUUCUUUCUGCUUUGGUCAAGAAAAGAAAACUAAGAAAUGGGUGUUGCAGAAGAGGUGCCAUUUGAACCCCACCCUGUUAUAGAUGCCUCUUGGCUGAGAAUGAGAACCUAUACAUGACGUAUAUGAUAUGUAAGACUUGUCACACAAGAUGCGAAAUUUGGGGAGAGGGACUUUAAUUCCAUGUGAAACUCCAACACUUUUAAGGAAUUUGCUACCAAAUUAAGGAGUUCAGAAAAGACCCAAGUCAGAAGUCCUGUCAUACUGGAGGCCUCCCACACCUCCACCUGCCUUUAGAGCCGUGGGCUGUACCUAAUACUUUCUUUCUUAGCUACAGAGCCCCAUGCAGCAGCUGAACUAGUGAGGGAUGAAAACCCUUAUAAAAGAACAGAUGUCCUUGGAACAGGGCGCUCCUGUGAGCCUCUCCUCCACGGCGACAUGCUCAGACUGGGAGGGAGACCCUGGGUAUCUCUGGGCAAAGGAGACUCCACAUUUCCUCUGAAUUCUCCCACGGCUCCCUGGAGGCUUAACAGAAUAGGAAACUCAGCUGAGUCUAAGAGAAGGGUCUCCAAUGGCACCAGCUCCAGGAUUUUCUCCUCAGCAAAUGUUCUAUUUCCCAGGAAAAUGGAGGAUCCUGUCCUACAGCUUCCCACUAGAGUAACUUCCCUCAAGGUCUCUUUAUGCUUGCUUCUUGGAAGAUGACCAGUGGCUGUGCCUAGUCCCACCUGGAUGUCCCUGCCCUGGGACUUCAGGAGCUGCUGGAAGGGCCCCCAAAGGCCAUCUACCUGGAUGAUCCUAGCCCUUGGGAAAUGGACCUUCAGCAGCUAAGGCAUUUUGCUUACCAAAAAAACCCAGUAGUCAGUGGCAAAGCCAAAAGGAGAUUCCAAGAAGCCACUGGACCCUCGCUUCGGGGCUCAGGACUUUCCAGGCUAUCAGGCAGAAUGAGCUCAAGAAGGCAUCUUGCUUAAGCCCGAGCUGAGCAUUCAGAUGGGAAGUCAUGCAAGCUCUAAACUCAGUAUUUGGGGAUUAUUGGGUAUUUGGGGUUCUUCUCUCUACUGUUUCGCUCCUUUAAAGAUACGAAAAGGGACUUGCUUUUCUCAUGUUGGGUGAGUGACCUUAAGGAAUCCAUCUGGGUGUGCUGCUCACUGUCUCCUCCCUCAUUCCCCACAGGUCAAGACCAGGGGCGCAUGUGUAGGAAGAGGCUUUGGGCAUCGCAAAUUCCUGGGCUGCCUUUUAAAAUAUAAUAAGUCUCCAAAAUAGCCAAAUAUCACUCACUUAAGCUAACAGAGGGAAAAGCUAGUUUUUAUUAUCAUUUGAAAAAUAGGAGUCAGAGAUGAUCUGAAAAGAAAGUGGUCCUUUAAAGAAUAUACAAUAAGAGAAUUUUGCUGCUAACAAGUAGGAGUUGUAUUAAACUGGCCUUACCUGGCUGGUCUGUAAAUGCAUGCUUCUAGAGUGCACGAAAACUGUCUGGAGCAGACCAAAUGAUUCCCAUUUUAUCUCAUGUAUGUUUUACAUCUGCUUAAUAAACCAUCAUCAGAGAAGACAGAGAUGUCCCUGGAGAUGCACAGGUAAAUCUGAGCCUCAUCCAGGUUUACUUUGAACUAAUAUUCUAAGUGCAUGGGCUCUGAAUGAAUGUGGCUUUGCUGUAUCCAUCAAUGUGAGUCCUGUUUUAUUGAGCAAUUCUAUUCUUAGCUCUUUGAGGGGGAGGCAGACAGAAAGCCUCGGUUCUCCUCCAUUCCAUUCCCCUCCCAGGACGGCAUUUAACAUGUUGCUCCUGCCAGCUGGCGGACAGCCACGCCAAUGGCCCUGUCAGCACUGGCCGCAGAGAAUAAGAAACUAAACCAUAAAAGGCCAGAACUGCAGCCCACUUAGUGGUGAUCGGGGGAGGGGAGCGCGUGGCACCGUGCAGGAGCUGGGCAUAGUGGGGGCUGGGGAAGGGAUGGCUGAGUACAGAAAAGCAGUUCAAAGAAGCUGACCCCAAAGUUGCUUAAGGAGGAACAGAUGAGAGAGAACAUCAAAGAAAAGUUGAAACUGAUGCUUGCUGAUAGGACGGGAGAACAGGGCCAAAUCAGGGCUUCAGAACAGAUCUAAAUGUACCAGCAAACUGGAUUGCUAAUACCAAGCACUGACAGGUUCCUGACUCCUUGGGGGGAAGUUAUUCAGAUAAGCACCUGGAGUCACCAAAAAGAGACAGAGUGAGAAAAGGGUUAUUCUACUCCUUUAGAGAUUAAAAAAACCCAUUCCCUGACUCCUUUGUACACCAGUCUUCCCCAAUCUGAAACUUCUAAUUGAAAGAAACAAACGAAUGAGGGCCAGAGGAAGACAAGGGGGAAAGAGGAGAUGUGGGACAGGAUGACAGACCCUGAGAAAUGGCAAAAAUGGAGCGUGGGGUGAAGAAACAAGGCCAGGGAGAGGAACAGAGCAAGUGAGAAGGCAAAGGGAAAUAUGGACAAUUGAGGGUGGGGAGUGGAUGCUGGAGCUCAGUCCUCUGUGAAUUCCCUCUCCCAGGUCUCCUGUGUCUGGGGACAAUCUUCCAGGGGGCUUUGCAGUACUUCCUGUCUGGAGCAUCAAGCCAGGGCCUAGAACCCAUGGUCUGUUCUGGUAGCUGGCGGGGGCACAGCUCACUGUCCCCCUCCUUUGUCUUCCCGGCUCUGUUUUACUUUGUCCUUUGUCCUCAUGUCUUCCCUAUUCACCUGGUUGGACAAGGGCUUCUUCUUCCCCAAGUGCUUAGGGGCUGGAGAAAAGCGCUACAGGGCUUUCUAAGGUUCAGCAUGAGAAAAAUGGAAGGACAGACAUCAACAACUCCCUGGCAUGUGGACAGCUCCCCAGAAGGCUUGCAUGUCCCCCUCAAGAUGAAUUUUGCAGCCAGAGUGUGUCCCUUUGCCUUUUGGAACAUUCUGUACCUACUUCCACACUCCCAUGAGUGGCACUGGAGGACAAGUGCUUGAAAGUUUAAAGCUAGUUCUCACUUAGGCCCUGAUGCACGAUGUUACUUUGCUCAUAAUAGUCUUCAGUUUCCCCUAUCUAAGGCUGGAAACAUCAGUCCUGUCUAUCCUAGUCCUAAGGUGAGGAUACAAGAUGAAGAUAGGGAAGAAAAAGUGCUUGAGAACUAAGUCAGACAAUCAUAGAAUGUCAGAGAACAAGUCAAGGAAUCAUAGACUACCAGAGAAUUAGAGUUGAAGAAACACAGAAUGUCAGAGAAUAGAGCCGAGGAAUCAGAAUAUCAGAGAAUAUAGUAAAUGAAUCAGAAUGUCAGAGAACAGAGUUGGGAAUUGUAGAAUGUCAGAGCUACAGGAAACCUUAAGAGUUACUGUCUCCAACUUCUAACUUCGUGUCUAGAUACCUCCAUAAGAAAGAUUCCCGGGGAAGGCCUCUAACCACCAUAGCCACACGAACCCUGUUACCAACAGAUCCUUUUAUUCUGUGUGCCCACGUGUGUGUGCACCAGGAGCACACAGGAAAGGCUAGUAUGCAGGAAGUCAAGGUUGGGACCAGCACACACAGCUGAGAGUUUUGUGUGCUACAUAAAAGGGGCCUAGUAAGGGCAUCUGGCUAAUCUGUGCUCCCCAAGGCCAGGUCAUGAGCUCUGGGGUGAGGCUGGAAGUGCUGUACCCUUUUCACUCUACCCAGCAAGGCCCUUUUUCUAAUUUUCACAAAUGUACCUUAUGAGCUUGAAAGCCAAGGACAAAUGGAAAACCUGCUUGGGUCUGGUGCACAUAUCAAUAAACACCAGGUCAAAGGCUUCCGCAUGCACAAUAUAUGAAGGCCCACAAAUGCAUGAGACAUAGGGUCUAGUCUGUAUCUGUCUGCUCCUCUGCCUGCUCGUUCUUCUGCUGUCCUGAGUACCUGCCACAUGGGGAACAACUGAAGCAGAAUAUGACAACGGUGGGAAACUGGUUAGAAAGCUCUUUGAUGCUCCGGGAGAGAGCUGACCAGGGCUUGAAGACAGUGGUUAGGAAGGAGAGAAAACGUGAACUUGACAAUCAGUCUGGAGACAGACCCAACUCAAUCCUGGGAUGAAGGAAGUGAUAAGGAAAAGUGAGUGGAGUCAGGAUUGGGAGGUCAUCAUGACCUCAUAAAGACAGUCCCGGCAGACUAAUGGGGUGUGGGGGUGAGGCCACAGGAAGCUGGAAGGUGCUGGGGGUGAAAAAGCAGGAAUGCAGUAGAGACUCACACCUGUCAGAGAGAGAAGGUAGGGCGGCUGGAGCGAGAGAGAACACUGCAGAAGUUAUACAUGCCUGUGCAUCUGGCUAAGAUGGUGACACUUAUGGGCUGCUGGGAGGAGCCAGGAGAGAGGAACAGGUUGGAGAGAGAAGUGGGAAUGGUGGAGCCCCCACAGGGUCUGGGGUCCAAAGCACAGAAGAAGGAAGCAACCUUCAGCAGGACCAAGGUCUUUGCUCAAAAGCCAUCUAACCUAUCUGUCCAAAUGAAAUGAAAACCUACAGGCACACAAAUACCUGUAUGUGAAUAUUUGCAGUGGCCUUAUUCAAACUGACAAAAACCAGAAGGUAUCCACAUGGAUGAACUGAGGUGAGAAGCCCAGGAUCAGAAUUCCAGAGGGAGGUUAGAAUUCAAGAGGGAGUGCGGACUUAAAGCGAAAGAUUCCAGGAUUCAAGAUGCCAUCAGAAUGGAAACUGUGAAGAUGGGUCAGUUCUUUGGGAAAAGAGAAUGCAAUUAAAGAGGAGAGGAGGCCAGGAUUGGAUCCCAGGACUGUUGGGAAGAAAGAGGCCCUCCAGGGAAGAGGAGAGGGCUUCUACCAGAGCACGGAUCUGAUCUCUGGAGAGAGGAGGCCAUCUGUUCAGAGGAGCUACAUGGAGGACUGCUGUCAUGAGCUGAGUUGUCUCCCCCCAAAUUCACAUGUUAAAGCCCUAACCCUUGGUACCUCAGAAUGUGACUAUUUAGAGAUAGGGACUUAAAGGAGAUAAUUAAGUUAAAACAAGUCCAUCAGGGUGGCCAUAGAUUGGGAAGAAAAGAGUGUAAGAAUCAAUUUCUGUGGUUAAGCCACCCUUUAAGUCAGCCCUAGAAGACUAACAUGGCUGCGGAUGGGCAUCAUCAGUGGGGUGAGCACCAGUUGGGCAAGCACUGGUGGGGUGGGCACCAGAGGGUGUGGGAAGGAGGUUGACAGUCCCUGGGCUGUUGAGCUAGGAGUACGGCAUGAGAUCAGAGGACUCCAAAGUCCUGCCCUGUACUUGGUGGCUCUGGGUAAAUCCAUGUAGCUGGAAGUGAAGCCCUAACUAAUCUUUCAGUGUCACAGUUAAAUAGGAUUGAAGGCCAAAUUUUUCAGUUUAUUCAAUAAAUUUGGAGCUACUGUUGCUUGAAUUGGUUAGCCUUUGAAGCUGGCUUGGUUCCUAUCAGUAAAACCAAUUUUAAAUGUUAACAAUGUUUUAUAUUCUAUCUAUGCAUUUUAUAUGACCAUCUGCUGAAAUCCACUAAAUGUGUGCUGGGCUUAUAGGGGAAAGCACCUAAUUCUAAAACCGGUUUCUCAGAGGGAGAUUUUCACUUGGUUCUUAUCCCAAUCAAACACAGCAGGGAGUAUCAUGUUUUUGUUUUAUGAAAAAGGAGAUGGCAUCUCAUAAAAGUCAGGUGACUUGCUGGGUUCAUAAAACCAGACGUUCUGGAGCUGGAAAUGGGAACUAAGCCUCCUGCCACCCAGGGUAUGGAGUAAAUAAAAUUUGUUGUGAAGAGUUAAGCUACAUUGUAAAGAAGGUAUAGCCUAUAGUAAAUGUUCUUUUUUUUUUUUUUUUUUUUUUGACACAAGGUCUUGCUGUGUCGCCCAGGAUGAGUGUGGCGGCAUGAUCACAGCUCACUGUAGCCUUGACCUGCUGGGCUAAAGUGAUCCUCCCAUCUCAGUACCCUGAGUAGCUGGAACUACAGGUGUGAGCUACCACAGCCAGCUAAUUUUUUUUUUUUUUUUUUUUUUUGUAGAGACUCACUAUGUUGUUCAGGCUGGUCUCAAACUCCUGAGCUCAAGUGUGCUCCCACCUUGGCUUCCCAAAGUUCUGGGAUUACAGGCGUGAGCCACUGUGCUUGGUCUAACAUCAGUCCACCCCCUACUCCCCAAAACAAGCAGAUCCCCAGAGGACUUCUCUGUCUUUUGGGGCAAGUCUGGCCCCUUUAGCUAUGUGGCACACCACCCUGUUAGUCAGUUCAGCCUUACACUAAUCUGAGAGCUCUCAUGUGGCACCUACGUUUCUUCUCCCCAGUCCAGGUCCUCGGCAUAGGGGACAGUCAGUACUCCUUGGCUCACUAACUAGUUUCUUCUCCUCUGGAGUCACUCUUAUUAUUAUUCCUGUCAGCCCUUUGUCUCUCACCCCCUUCUCUGACACUCCUCUGUACCAGCCAUUGUCAGAGAGGAACAUCCUAGAAGGAAAAUAAAACCCAACCACCCUUGCAAACCCCAUGAUGGCUGCUGGCCACAGGACAGGGUGGGGAGGGCAGAGCAUGCCCUCUGAGGAGGGGCUGCUCAGGCUGCCCCUCUGAGGAGGGGCUCAGCCACCUCCCUCAGGCAGUCAGCCCUAGGCAGCACAUCUUUCCUGGCACAGCACUGCCCCAGGGUACUGUGUUCACCACUGUCCUUUGAGCUCCUUUUUCCAUCCCCUAUUCUCCUACCUGCAUUUCCCCUGAAGCCAGAACUCUCUCCUGAGCCCAUACCAAUACAUCCAAGUACGUGACCAUCAUCUCCCAGGGAGAUGCCAAACACAUACUGCUGUCCAACAUGUCCAAAAGCAAAUCCAAGACCUUUCCCCAAACCUGCUCCUUGUCCCCGUUUCUCCCAAGGCCCCUUCCCUGCUCAUAUCCACUGACUAAUGCCUGUUGACUCCAUCAACUAAGUACCUCCCCAGUCUGCCAAUUUCUACCCUCCCACCAUCACCACUGUAGUCCCAAAUGCAUUGCCUCUGAUCCCCUGGCCCCUAUCACAUAUGUCACUCUGUGACCAAAGUGAACUUUCUCAAAUGCAAAUAUAAUGUCACUUCACUGUCUAAACCUCUUCAGUGGCUACCCACUGCCACUCAGGAUCAAAUUCAACUCAUCUUAGGAGGUCUUUGGGCUCUGUCCCUGGCUUUCAUCUCCAACUUUCUUGCUUGCUUUCCCAAGAGGAAACAACUUUUAUCACACCCUCAAUACCCAACAUCAGUGGUUCUCAAAAUUCAGCCUACAUUAUGAUUGCCUGGAAAAUGUAAUAAAAACACAGAUUCUUGGCUUCUAGGUACUGGUGCUGCUACUGCUGCUGGUCCCUGCACCUUCCUUUGGGAAGUGCUGCUUUGCAAUCUAUAUGGAAUGUCUUUCAUUUCUGCAACACUAGGCUCUUGCCUUCACUCCUUUGCAAUUCUGGCCCAUAUUCUCUUAGAUGGGCUCUUGCACAUUCUUUGGGCAGGUCCCAGCUCACACACCACUAAUGUCCUGCUGGGUUCCUACCCCCCUGAGGUAGUUCUAUCACAGCAUUCAUCAGGCACUGCUAUUUUAGAAACCUGUCCCCAGUAUGCACACACCAUGGCAAGCUUCUGGGGACAGGAGUAGGAUCUACCUUCUGUAUCCACAGUGCCUAGAACAGUACCUGGCGCACGCCUAAUAAAUAGCCAUUAAAGGAAUGAGUGAAACCCCUAAGGAUUUCUGUUAACCUGGGAAUUCCCAAGGAACAUUCUGCCUCAGCCCUGGGCACUGAUGCUGAGAAUAUAGUCCUGGGGCUUGAAUUUUUACAUAACUUUCUAUGAAAAGGAUCAAUCUCUGCUGUCACUUCCUGAUCAAAACUGCCAGGUGCUGAGUCUUCCACUUUAGAUAGGAGAUUAAUAUUAGAGGAAGUGAAAUAGCCAAUAAAAACAGCAUUGGCUCUGGAAGCCUCCUGGGAAACCUGGAACAAGGGUGGGGAGGCCAGCCUCCUAAUUGUCCAGGUAAUCUGUUCCAGCCAACCCAAGCCCUAACCUAAUCCUGGGAAAAAAAGGAGGUCAGUAACUCACAGAAGUUUCCAGAUGCUCACCUGAAUGCCUCUCUCUCAAACAUGAAAAAUUAGCAGGGCAGAGAGCAGAGCAAACAUUUGCAAGAUAGAGGCAGAGCCUGAAGGCGGGUCUCACAGAGUCAAAAUGCCUGAGAUAAUGGAAAGCAAAGGAGAAGCGGGAAGCUAGCCUUACCAGCCAUGGGUACAGGGAGGUCCCUGGAUGUCUGCCUCUCUGGGGACAUUUCCCUUUUUAGGUAGGUAGUUAAAAAUAGACAUCAAAUCCUUCACAAUUCCCAAAAUCAGCAUGAACUUUCUGCCAAAGACUCCUGAAAAGGACUAAGGCUGGGUUAAGCACAGAGUAAGCACUCACCCCAUGAGGCUGUAUCAGAGCAGGAAGAUUGGCGGGGGGAAAGGGCGGGGGGGACCUGGGCAUGCAGGGCUGAAUCCUACCACGUUGGCUCUGGGUGACUUGACCCACUCCCCCACUGCACACGCUGGCCCCUUCCAUUUCAUCCUUACAGAUAUGUGGAGGAAUAUUGGUCAUUUUUCCAGAAUUAACAUCUCUGGGCAAAUUUCUUGCUCACCUUCUUCAAAGCAAGGGCUUUCACACAAGAAGAUUCCAGAGAAACACUACUCCUCUGAUUAGUGCAAACAUCCACUCCCACUCCCAAACCCGCAGGACACAGAAUGGCAGGACGGUUGUGAUAGAGGCACACUGGGCCAGUGGUGCCAGCAUGUCUUUGUGGGUGUCCUUCAGGUCAUCCCUCUGGCCAUUUAACUGGCUCAAGGGAGGCACUGGGAGAGCUGGGGAAGGAGCUGGGAGGAGUAGCCAAGUGGGUGGAAGUCACAGGGUCAGACACACCUGUGGGUGGGAGUGUGCCAGGUAGGCACUAUUCCUCCUCCCAGACCCAGCUUUGGUUGGGAGUAACUGGGAGUUGGUGCCAGCUUUCAGAUACAUUCAUAGAAAUAGCCCAGCCUCUCCCCCAGGGCCCCACAUCUUUCACUGUCAGGCAAGUCUUGAUGCCAGAUCCCAAUCUCUCUUCCGGCCUUUUGAAUCCCAUCAGGAUUGAACAUUCCCCAUGACCUGCGGAGGAAUGUUUAAAAGAAAGAUUUGACCUUGGGGAAACCCUGCAUGGAAACUAGACACAGUUUUUAACACCCAGAGAUGCUUUCAAACUGACACAACUUUCCAUUUUAGAGGCAGAUACGUACGGGAGGUCUAGGCAAAGACAUCUGAGAGUCUUGUAAUCUGGUAAUCUGAAUGUUCUAAGGUGACUAAUAUCAGAGGUGAAGCUCAGGCCAAAGCCAGGCAUGGACUACAAAGGAAUGUUCCAUCUGCAUCAUCCCUAAUUACAGAACCACAGUGGGGCAGGGCCCCUUGGAGCAUGGGAAUUUAUGAACUGGUUUGAAAAAUCAAAUAUUUAUUAUAAACUUACUGAGGGACCGGUUACUGACGUUUGGAGAUGGACAGGACCUGGUUUGUCUUCAAGGUAUAAAAGACCUGCUUGGAUGCCCAUUUAUGUCUCUUCUGAAAGACCAUCAGCUUAUACAGACUCUGCUAGGAGGAACUCCAGAGUCUGUUAUCAAGCUGGCAUCACCUCGUGUGUUUCCCAAGGCCACUUCCUAAGCUCCACCAAGGCUCCUUCACACAGGCAACAUGCUUGUCUCCCCUCACACAACAUUCCCAAGGCCACUUCCUAAGCUCCAUCAAGGCUCCUUCACACAGGCAACAUGCUUGUCUCCCCUCACACAACAUUCCCAAGAAUUCUGCUGGCCAUUUGGGCCCCUCCAGCUGGGACUUCGCUAAAUUUAUAUGCUUAAGGCCUCUUUCCCUCAGGACACUUUUGCUGAUGUGUGACCAAAACUAUGCUUGCUGUGGCUUUGGACUCCUUCACACUUCAGAUGAUACAAAGGAGAGGUAUUAACCUCACCUGAACUGUGUCACUCAAAAGCUUUCCAUCCAAUGGGCGGAUGCUGAUGUCAGAGUUGGGAAAGGCCUGGGGACAGCUGGAGAAACUGCCCAUCUGACAGGCAAGGAAGCCACAGCCAGAGCAAUGAGGGGCUUUGACCAAAGCCACAUAUUUAAUUACUGGGAGAACCAAGACCUUUGUCUCCUGAUUUCUAGCUCAGUGGCUUUCCUGCUGUGUCUUUGCCUGAGUGUUGCCCCAGAAUUGGUCGUAGUAAGUUGGCACCUGGAGUCUUUCUGUCUCCCCAUGCCCUACUCAGCUUAGGUGGAGGAGUGUGGGGUAUUUCUCCCCUGGGCCUGUGAACUUCUUUCCUGUUCUGUCUCCAGAGGGAGGAGAGGACCCACUCUGGGCUGGAGGAGUAUACAAGUGUUUCAGGAGUAUUAUUAUUAAAUAUUCGUCAAGAGGAGAAGUCAUAAAGAACAUUAUUGAAACAAUUGACAAUAGAUGUAGACUGUGAAUUGAUCAGGUAACAGUAUCGGUUCAAUGUCAAAUUUACUGAUUUCAAUAAUUGCAUUGGAGUCAUGUUCUUAAGGCACACACAACAGGAUAGUUAGAAGUCAAGGGUGGCCGGGCGUGGUGGCUCAGGCCUGUAAUCCCAGCACUUUGGGAAGCCGAGGCAGGCAGAGGUCAGGAGUUCGAGACCAGCCUGACCAACAUCUCUACUGAAAAUACAAAAAUUACCCGGGCGUGGUGGCAUGCGCCUGUAAUUCCAGCUACUUAGGAGGCUGAGGCAGGAGAAUCACUUGAACCCGGGAGGUGGAGGUUGCAGUGAGCCAAGACUGCGCCACUGUACUCCAGCCUGGGUGACAGAGCAAGACUCCAUCUCAAAAAAAACAAAACAAAACAAAGUCAAUGGCACAAUGUCUCAACUUUGGCUUAAAAUGUUGGUACCUAUCUAUCUAAAUGAAUAAAUGAAUGAAUAUAUAUGGAGAGAAUGAAACAGUGUAACAAAAUGUAAACAAUUGGUGACCCUAAAUAAAGAGCAUACAAGAGUUCCUUGUGUUACUGUUGGAACUUUUCUGUAAAUUUGAAAUUAUAUCAAAAUAGGUAUAAAAAAUUCCCAUCAAGAGGCACACAGUGAAUAAAAACACUGAGAGGUCUUAAAGUCCAGGGAGGCAAGCUGGCUGCGGCUCUCCUUCCUCCAGACCUCUGCAAGCCCUAUCAGCCAGUCCCCACCUCCUGCUGCCUCCAACGAGCCAGGGGACGCACUGCCCGGCCAUGUGUGGACAGCACAGGGUGCGUCCUGAGACUGCAACCAGGUCAGUGUGUAGUGGCCAGAAUGUAGGUCAGGGCCGGCACCACAGUUCCACAACUUACUAGCUGUGAGACCCUGGACAGGGCCGUUUAGUUCUCGGAGGCUCUGUUUGCUCAUCCCUCAAAUGGGAACAGCUACUUAUAGCACAGUUGAGUGAGACUCAGCUCAAGUGACGUAGACCCAGCUCCUAAGGUGCUGCCACUGCGCAGGCACUCAGUAGACUCUGAUUUUGUUCAGCCUGCAGCUGUCCUGAGACAGAUGCCCUCACAGUCUUCACUCCAGCAUCUGGGUGGCUCCUUCUUGUCUGUCUCCUCCCCAUCUGAUGCUACAUAAACGACAUUCCUCUCCUCCAUAACUUGGCCCUGUUUUCCUCAUCCCGAAAUCUCCCCAAGCUAUUCCCACCUCCCUCCUACACUUGUGAGUUGGUGUCUGGCAGCCUAACUUGUACUUCUGUCCGCUUCCUCUCACCCUGUCCUUCAUUGGGUUGGGGUGGAUACCCGUGACUUUCCCUCAUGGUCCUCAGUGCACAGCAGGGAGGGAGGGUGUGCAGAAGAGGGACCUGGUCAUGAUCUGUUUGAUGAGAAAAUCACUCAGCCUUCCCUAGGGAAAGAUGGAGUUCCUUCUUAGACUAGGUACUUCUCAGCCCUUGGACACAGAUGUACAUACACACACAGCCAGAUCACUCACUUCUGCUGCUCAAGACCCACAGUGUGGGCACCAGGCUUCUCCCUGGAACAGGUGGUUUCCAGCUUGACUGUACAUGGAAUGACCUGGAGAAUGGAAUGACCUGGAGCUUGUACAUGGAAUGACCUGGAGCUUGAAUACUGAGGCCUGGCACCCACCCCUGAGAUUCUGAUGUAAUUGGUCUGGGGGUGGGGGAAGCCUGCACAGCAGUGUUUUAAAAGCUCCCCAGGUGAAUAUAACAUGCAGCCAGGGGUGCGAGCUGCUGCUCCAGACUCGGAUAGUAACAACUUGCAUGGGGUUUCCACAGCCCUGUUCUCAGGGCAGAGAGCCCAGCUCCUGCUCUGCUUAUCAUCUGGAGCUUGUUUUCUUCCUCCACAGUUCUGCUCUGACCCCUUCUCACCUCCUCAAGGGCUCACUGGAGUGGGUGUGCUAGAGCUGGAGUGGGUAUGCAGGAGGCCACCCACCAAUCAACAGCUGCACUGCGGCUUCUGAGUCCAGGAGCGGGGGACAGCCAUGCCACAGCCCGAAUUCACAGUCCCUGGUGCUCUUCCUACAUUCUCUGGCUCUUCUGCUCACAGUUUGCCAUACCAAGUAUAGCAUGGGCCCAAGGAGUAUUUUUGGUAAAUAAAAUUAUUAACCCAUUCUCACUAGGUUUUUCCUGGUAUUAUGUACGCAUUUCCAACAACUUAUUAAAUGUCCAUUCUUGAUAUUCUCAGGCUAUAUACUUUGGUUAAAUAUCAAUGAGAAAUUAAUUCCAAUUGGGCUGCCUCAACAUACUGAAGGCUGAGUUCCCUCAACAGCCUGGCUGGUGUAUGUUCAAGGACCCAGGUUCAUCGUUAGAAAGAGCUCAGCUUUGUGGUGAGGAAACUGACUGUAAAGUCGGGAAUGAGGACACGGGCUCUACAUGGUGUGGAAUGGGAGUGAGACAGGAUAGGACUUCAGAACUCAAGUGAUCACACCCAGGAGAGAGAACAACGAAGCUGGGCUUCAAGAUGCCUUAUUUGGACACUAGUUUUUGAUGUGUCUCUGAUGGUUAUUAACCAGGCAUUUCAAGGGCAAGAAACGAUUUCCCCCAAACUACCUUUCGGGACAUUUCCAGGUUAGUGCCAAAUACAAAGAACUGAUACUCGGUUGUGAGUCCUGGGAUGGGGUUCUGGCCCUGGCUCUGCUCUAAAUGGGCCAGGGAGCCCUCCUGAAAAUGCAUUUCCUCUCUGGAUGCCUUCAGUUUCUCAUCUGUAAAAUGAGGGUACUCGUCUAAACUGUCACACAGUUCAUCCUACUUCUCAGGCUCCAAUUCUACACUCCUCAGGGAGGAGACAAAAAAGAGUCACGAAUGUGCUUCCUGCAUUUUGUUAGGACAAAGCCCAGUUCCUCACAGCCUGGCACUGCCUCUUCCUAACACAGAAACUCCACUGAGACCUGGCAGGCCUGCUCCCUUCCCAACGUGUAUUAUUAUGAUUAUUACCAUUUGGUUUUGGCAGAGGCUGCCCUGUCCUCUCUACCCAGAGACUCAACCCCGACUCACCUCCUCAGGGAAGUCUCCCAUAUGGAUCCCACUCUGCUCCCUCCUCCUCACGGCUGACCCUGUUGGGUCCGUCCUGCCAGCUCGGACACUUGUUUGUUGUGGCUUUUAUAAAAUACUCUGUAGUCAUUUUCCUGUGGGUGUGUCUUUUCCCCUGCCCA